UACAGAGGUCUCAAGCGUUGUUCGGAUUUACUGGGCGUAAAGGGCGCGUAGGCGGCGUGGUAAGUCACUUGUGAAAUCUCUGAGCUUAACUCAGAACGGCCAAGUGAUACUGCUGUGCUAGAGUGCAGAAGGGGCAAUCGGAAUUCUUGGUGUAGCGGUGAAAUGCGUAGAUAUCAAGAGGAACACCUGAGGUGAAGACGGGUUGCUGGGCUGACACUGACGCUGAGGCGCGAAAGCUAGGGGAGCAAACGGG
rnacentral:rRNA from 1 species